rnacentral:rRNA from 1 species
UACCGGCGCCUCAAGUGGUCAGGAUGAUUAUUGGGCCUAAAGCAUCCGUAGCCUGUUCUGUAAGUUUUCGGUUAAAUCCAUAAGCUCAACUUAUGGGCUGCCGAAAAUACUGCAGAACUAGGGAGUGGGAGAGGUAGACGGUACUCGGUAGGAAGGGGUAAAAUCCUUUGAUCUAUUGAUGACCACCUGUGGCGAAGGCGGUCUACCAGAACACGUUCGACGGUGAGGGAUGAAAGCUGGGGGAGCAAACCGG